rnacentral:rRNA from 1 species
UACGAAGGGGGCUAGCGUUGUUCGGAAUUACUGGGCGUAAAGCGCACGUAGGCGGAUAUUUAAGUCGGGGGUGAAAUCCCGGGGCUCAACCCCGGAACUGCCUUCGAUACUGGGUAUCUUGAGUUCGGAAGAGGUGAGUGGAACUGCGAGUGUAGAGGUGAAAUUCGUAGAUAUUCGCAAGAACACCAGUGGCGAAGGCGGCUCACUGGCCCAUAACUGACGCUGAGGCACGAAAGCGUGGGGAGCAAACAGG